rnacentral:tRNA from 13 species
GUCAGAAUAACUAAGCGGACUAAGGCGCCAUAUUUAAGCUCUGGUUCUCAACAGAGAGCGUGGGUUCGACCCCCACUUCUGACA